CACCAUUCUUGGGGCCCUAGAUCUGAGACAUGAUGUUCACAGGUGCAGGGUCAUCUUUUACAUCCUGGAACCUCCUGGCUCAUCUUGAACAAGAGAGAGUUUGCUUUCCAAGGCACUAUUGGUCUGCAGAAUUUGCUCUAAAUUUUGGAUAAGCUUCUUCUUGUCCAAUUUAGAGGUUUCCAGGGCUUUACGAAUUUCUAAUUGUUUGCGGCUCCUGUUUUUUCUUCUGCGCUCCAGCUUUUCAUCCACAGCCAUGGCAGCUUUGAAAAAAUCACGUGAAGAAGCUCUGCGAUUAUCACCACAGUCAGAGACAGAUUCCCUUCCAGGCAGAUCAGUCAUGAAACGAACUCUACGUGUUGGAGAAUACAGGGCAGAAGUUUGUUCCCUAAGUUCCAGGUUGUCCUUUACGUCACAGGCCAGGCAUGACCUAAAAUGGUUACUGGACUUCUGCUGCCAGCAAUUUUCUGAAGACUUUCUUUUUUUAAGAGGCAUUUUCGCUAUAAACUUUGUGGCUUAAGGAGAAAUAAAAAUCCUGGAGAAGGCAGAUCAAGUUUGAGAAGAGUGGUGUCCAUUUUCAAAUACAGAUUCUUAUCCACAGUUACAUAUUGUUUUAAAAAGCUGUUACAUUACUGAGGUCUGAAGGGAGACAUUUUAAAUCUGAUUCUGUUCCCUUUCCUCAUCAAUGGCUGUUGAAAAGUUCUAUGCUCAACAGCCCUUCUUAUUCAAAGGUAAAGCUGUAUGUUCUCUCCCAUAUCAUAGAAAUGCUGGGACAUCACUCUGUUCCAUUUGUGAUGUCAUGAGACUCCUCCUCUUUGGUCAGAAUGUGAUUUAAACAGUGUAAUAUUUCACAAUCCACUUUCUCUAACACACAAAUGAAGUGAAAAAAAUGUGCAGAUUGACAAGUUGGAUAAAUUUAACUCCUUAUUCCUUUUUUUUCUUCAAAAUAGCAACACUGAAAUCUGCAAUGAUAUGUCCUGGGAAGUUAAAAUGCUCUGAUAUUACUUGUCAUACCCUAUUUUGAGUCAUGAUAUCAAUUUGUGUCUGUUACUUAUUUUGUUUAAAAUAAACUCAGCAAACCUUCCCUGCCUAAGAGAAAAUUAGAACCUGGGUCUCCCUACUCCUAUAUGAUUGCUCCAUCUAUUUCGCCAAAAUGUGUUUUAAUGCUCUAAAAUUAUUACUUAUUAUUUCCAUUCAAAAAUCG